rnacentral:lncRNA from 1 species
CUUCUCAAGUCUGUUCUUUGAGCAGAACAUUCUCUUCCUUAUUUUUAGUAAACCUGUCCAAAUAUUUUGUCCUUCAUAUCUCAGCUUAAAUAUAACUACCGCAGGGAAAUCUUUCUCGAGCCUCAGACUAGGCUGAAUGUCUUUCUUACUCAUUUUUUACAAAAGUGUGAACUGAAACUUCAGAGGAAAGAUGACUGAGGGAAAGAAUCUGGCAUGACAAAGGAUGCUACUCAAAACUGGCAAGAAAACAAGAACGUGCAAAUAGCAAAAUAAAACUAAGCUACCUGAAAAUAAUUGAAACCCAAUCGCUCUUAAAACAGGACCUGCUCUCUCUUCCUCUCUGAGUUCCUAUGUGAUGCCCAUAACUUGACAGGACAAUUCCACGGUUUGGCUAGAAUCUGACGGAAACGUGUAGCAAAAUGUUUAGUGGCUUCCACUUGCCACGGUUCAGCAGUUUUCAUUUUUAAAUGGAUAUUCAUCUUGUUAAAAUAUUUACUUUAUUGUGAAACUACAGGCAGAUUUAUCUCACAUAGAAGAAGCUAUAGGUAUAACAGGCAUAUGGAGUUCAUUCACCAAGGAAGAAUCCAGAAGUUUCUCUUCAAGCAUCAGCAUGUGUCAUAUCAAGGCUUCAGAACGCUUUGCUCCACAUGGCAAUGAAAGUGUUUACCAAGUUUGAGUUGUUUGUGCCCAUAAAAUGCAGUAGAAAUCUGAACUCUGCCUCAUUUUCAGAGCAUGGCUACCAACUGGCCUCUGUAGGAGCCCAUGUGGUUGGAAAGAAAUACUAAAGUUAUUUGGACUUGAAAGCUUCUGGAAAAGGUUUUAGCUACUCCAGAGGGUAAGCAGUUUGGCAGAUAAGGCCAUUGAAUAAGAGGCUCUCUGAUGAAACUCUGUCUGCACCAAGAGGUGGGAAGAGAAAUAACAGUUAUUGAGGGCAUACUUUACCAGGCAUUGUCCGUAAUCAUGAUGAAACCCAGCUACCACCUGCACAGCUUGUGCUGGGUGCCAUUGUGCUUUACACAGUCUAGUAUAUUUCUUGCACCUCGGGUAAGUACAAUUAUUCCCAUUUUUUUCUAGCAAAGGAGCUAAAAUGGAGAAAACAGGUAAUUUAUCAAAGACUAUAAACUUAGUAAAUUAGAAAACGAGUUUCAAAUAUGAUUAUGUCUGAAUGCAAAUUUUUGUAAUACACUAAGCUGCCAUCUGAUUGAGCCAUUUUAGUAUGACCUUUCUGUGCUCAAAAGGAAGUUGAGGGAGGUAGGUGAGGCUAGUACAGAAAAGGACUUUUGAGAUAAAAGUGGCUGGGAGAAGCAGAGCCUGGAGAAGUCACAGAAGGCGGGGUGGAGCAUGAAUGAACUGAGGACUUUGUGACCAGUUGGAAGCAGCAGAAAAAGAGAUCCUCAAUUAAAAAUCCUGGUAGAAGUGGUCUGGUAGAUCAGAAUAAAGGACUGUUUGAGAUGAAGUCAGAUGUUAGCACAGCACCUAACUAUGAACUCCUUUUUUAAAGCAGUGAAUAUACUGGUCAAAUGUUCACAUAAAAAAGAGUCAGAGAAAAUCUGAAGUCUUUUUGUUUGGGAUUUUCAUAAGGAUGCUUGUUCUUAUAUUUUAGAUGGAUCAUCUUACUCUUCAACAAAUAAUAUGGUCUGAAAGUUACUUUUCAAUUAGUGGAGACAUUUUUUGAAUAAAAACAUAAUGUCUUCAGCUGGUCAACAUGAAUUACAAUAUUUAUCUAAUAAAGAAUGACUGACUUUUGCCCCUAUCAUGAAGUAAACGAGAAUGAAUUGGACAACCAAAGUUUUCAUUCAUACAAAGUCGUGCUUUGUUUAGAACUCAUCAUCCAUUACACAUCCUCUGAACUUUAUUUCUCUUAUUUACCAAGUAUCAUGAUUGAGCAACAACAGAGAAUUGAGAAUCUUUCUGUAUUAAUUUGUUGGUUAAUAUUAUGAAAGUUCCAUAUGAAAAUG